GACGAACGCUGGCGGCGUGCUUAACACAUGCAAGUCGAACGGUAAGGCCCUUCGGGGUACACGAGUGGCGAACGGGUGAGUAACACGUGGGUGAUCUGCCCUGCACUUCGGGAUAAGCCUGGGAAACUGGGUCUAAUACCGGGUAGGACCACUGCCUGCAUGGGUGGUGGUGGAAAGCUUUUGCGGUGUGGGAUGGGCCCGCGGCCUAUCAGCUUGUUGGUGGGGUGAUGGCCUACCAAGGCGACGACGGGUAGCCGGCCUGAGAGGGUGACCGGCCAGACUGGGGCUGAGAUACGGCCCAGACUCCUACGGGAGGCAGCAGUGGGGAAUAUUGCACAAUGGGCGCAAGCCUGAUGCAGCGACGCCGCGUGAGGGAUGACGGCCUUCGGGUUGUAAACCUCUUUCAGCACCGACGAAGCGCAAGUGACGGUAGGUGCAGAAGAAGAUAAUGACGGUAUCCGGAGAAGAAGCCCCGGCUA
rnacentral:rRNA from 1 species